rnacentral:ncRNA from 2 species
UAACCGGGGAAGUGAUUCCCCGCUGAACCGCCAGAAGUCAGCAGAGGUCAUAGUACCGGUGUUCUCGAGGACGCCGGGAAGGAC